CACAAUAAUAAAAAAAACAAAAACAUGUCCAGGUUCCAGGGUUCACUUCAGGUCAAUGUGAUUCUGUUUCAUGUCGUUAGGUGGCGGCACAGCCUGUAGGUAACACCCACAUCCACAGUGUCUCCCUGACAGGAGGGAGGUAAUGAUCAGCACACCUGCACAUUCAGAGAUGGAAACUGCUCCAACAAUGAGGAAGCUGGUGAACCGGGUCCAUGAACGCAUCAUUAUCACCACCGUCUGCUGCCUCAUGUUCACCGUCACACAGGUUUUAGGCUCCUCUGUCAGUGACCAAGUCCACCAGACUCCAGCUACGAUCUACAAACAACAGGGAGAAUCAGCCUCGGUCACAUGUCGCCACAGUAUCAACAGCUACAACUGCAUCCUCUGGUACAAACAGACGGAGGACGGGCUGCUGCAGUUCCUGGGAUACGUCCUGGCUACCAGUCCUUUUCCUGAGAAGGGACUGGGAGUGGACAUGGGAGGGAGCGCCAACAAAGAUGCUAACUGCACGUUAACAAUCAAGGAGCUGAGCCAGAGCAGCGUUUACUUCUGUGCUGCUAGUUUACACAGUGCUGCACAUCCCUGGCCGUCGCUACAAAAACCUCCCCACACGUCUCAGCUCAGACACCUGCACUCUUUAAUCAGUUCAUCAAUGACUGCCUACGAUAGACAUGUACAGUACAGUAUAACAGAACAUGGAGGUCAAAACAACCUCAGAACAUGUUAUACCAGAGGUCAGGGUUCAUGUCAUCUGGUUUCCUGUCAUCAGGUGGCAGCAGCGUCUGUGCAGAGCAGCCGCUUGGAGCAAAUUGACACCACCCACACAGAUGGGCCGGUUUAAGGUGGUAACGAUCAGUAGACCUGCACAUCCAGAAGGAAACAACCUCACUUAUAGGAGCAGAGAUUAAUCCAGUCAUCAUUAUGAUCACUGUCUGCUGCCUCAUACUCACUGUCACACUGGUCUCAGGCUCCUCUCUCAGUGACCAAGUCCACCAGACUCCAGCUGCGAUCUAUAAACAACAGGGAGAAUCAGCUACGAUCACAUGUCGCCACAGUAUCGACAGCUACAACCGCAUCCUUUGGUACAAACAGGCGGAGGACGGGCUGCUGCAGUUCCUGGGGUACGUCCUGGCUACCAGUCCCGCUCCUGAGAAGGAACUGGGAGUGGAGAUGGGAGGGAGCGCCAACAAGGAUGCUGACUGCACGUUAACAAUCAAGGAGCUGAGCCAGAGCAGCGUUUACUUCUGUGCUGCUAGUUUACACAGUGCUGCACAUCCCUGGUCGUUGCUACAAAAACCUCCCCACACGUCUCAGCUCCAGACACCUGCACUCAUCUCCGAGUAUCUCAUUAAUCAAUGACGCACAACCACCUCAGUGUGAUUACUGUAGAUGCAUAUUCAGCCCUACAGCGUCUCAGGGUUCAUUUCAGGUCUUUGCCAUCUGGUUUCCUGUCGUCAGGUGGCAGCAGCGUCUGUGCAGAGCAGCAGCUCAGGGACCAAAUCGACACCAUCUACAUAAAGAGCUAGUUUAGAUGGGACGGUUUAAGGUGUUAACAAUCAGACCUGCACAUGAGGAUGCUCCUAAAUCCACUCACUAAAUGCAUCAUUAUGAUCACUGUCUGCUGCCUCGUACUCACUCUCACACUGGUCUCAGGUAAUAUUUGUUUAAAAUCCUCCUAAACAUUCUACUGUACAGCUUUAUCGCCAUAUUUAGGCUUAUUUCUGUGUUUAAAGGCUCCUCUCUCAGUGACCAAGUCCACCAGACUCCUGCUGCGAUCUACAAACAACAGGGGGAAUCAGCCACAAUCACAUGUCACCACAG